UGGGGAAUAUUGCACAAUGGGCGGAAGCCUGAUGCAGCGACGCCGCGUGAGGGAUGACGGCCUUCGGGUUGUAAACCUCUUUCAGCAGGGACGAAGCGUAAGUGACGGUACCUGCAGAAGAAGCACCGGCCAACUACGUGCCAGCAGCCGCGGUAAGACGUAGGGUGCGAGCGUUGUCCGGAUUUAUUGGGCGUAAAGAGCUCGUAGGCGGUCUGUUGCGUCGACUGUGAAAACUCGGGGCUCAACUCCGAGCCUGCAGUCGAUACGGGCAGACUAGAGUUCGGCAGGGGAGACUGGAAUUCCUGGUGUAGCGGUGAAAUGCGCAGAUAUCAGGAGGAACACCGGUGGCGAAGGCGGGUCUCUGGGCCGAUACUGACGCUGAGGAGCGAAAGCGUGGGGAGCGAA
rnacentral:rRNA from 1 species